rnacentral:rRNA from 1 species
GAUGAACGCUAGCGACAGGCUUAACACAUGCAAGUCGAGGGGCAGCAUAAAAGUAGCAAUACUUUGGUGGCGACCGGCGCACGGGUGAGUAACGCGUAUGCAACCUACCUAUCAGAGGGGAAUAACCCGGCGAAAGUCGGACUAAUACCGCAUAAAACAGGGGCACCGCAUGGUGAUAUUUGUUAAAGAAAUUCGCUGAUAGAUGGGCAUGCGUUCCAUUAGGUAGUUGGUGAGGUAACGGCUCACCAAGCCGCCGAUGGAUAGGGGAACUGAGAAGUUGGUCCCCCACCAUGGUACUGAGACACGGACCAGACUCCUACGGGGGGCAGCAGUGAGGAAGAUUGGUCAAUGGGCGGGAGCCUGAACCAGCCAAGUCGCGUGAAGGAAGAAGGAUCUAUGGUUCGUAAACUUCUUUUGCAGGUGAAUAAAGUGCAGAACGUGUCCUGUUGUGUAUGGACCCUGAGAAUAAGGAUCGGCUAACUCCGUGCCAGCCGCCGCCGUAAUAC